UACGGGGGGGGCAAGCGUUGUUCGGAAUUACUGGGCGUAAAGGGCUCGUAGGUGGCCAACUAAGUCAGACGUGAAAUCCCUCGGCUUAACCGGGGAACUGCGUCUGAUACUGGAUGGCUUGAGUUUGGGAGAGGGAUGCGGAAUUCCAGGUGUAGCGGUGAAAUGCGUAGAUAUCUGGAGGAACACCGGUGGCGAAGGCGGCAUCCUGGACCAAUACUGACGCUGAGGAGCGAAAGCCAGGGGAGCAAACGGG
rnacentral:rRNA from 1 species